rnacentral:lncRNA from 1 species
AGUCCUAACCUCCCUACCUCCAGGUGGAGGAUAUUCUGUUCUCUGCCUGGCACCUUCCUGGGAGGCAGGGUGGCCAGGGCACAGGGCUCUGCUGGUCCUGCAGGGUACAAGGGAUCUUCCAUACUUCCUCCGUCUUGGGAAGGAGAAGCAGCAAUGCUGUGUCUCAGCUACAACCUGGAGGGAGAGCCUUUGCCCUGCCUACCCCUCCUUAUAGUGUUGGCAGUGUGGGCAGCCCUGUGCUGUUUGAUCUUGGGCCGCUUGCAUCUCUAGAUAUCUAUGAACAUAUUUACUGACUCAGGAGCAGUAGCCAAUGAAACGCCACAUGUGGUAGGCAGCUUUACUUGUUGACAAUGAUGUGUGCACUCCCCGAUGGCUGCACUCCUCUGGAGGUGGAGAAGACAUCCCUAUUGGCCUUGGGCUGGGCCAUGGGACUUACCUUGUCAAGUGGAGUAUGAGCAGACAUGCCCUAUGCCAUGGCAGAGCUGAAGAUGCUAAUGAGCUGGUGUGGUUUGGCUGUGUCCCCUUCAGAGCCUGUGCUCCACAGUGAAAACAGGUUAUCUUAGACGAUGGCCAUCCCGUUGCUAUGGGUCACUGAAUGAAAAGAUAAAUGGAGAUCUGUGGAGACCACCAGAGCCAAAGCCAAUUCACAGCCCUCAAGAAAUAAAUGUUUGUGUUUGUAAGCCACUCAGAUUUGGGAGUUAUAUGUUGCUGCAGCAAAAUCUGACUAAUCCAGUCAGAUUCUGUGCUAAGAACUUUCAAAUGUUACCUCAUU